rnacentral:rRNA from 1 species
ACAUGCAGUCGAGCGAACAGAUAAGGAGCUUGCUCCUUUGACGUUAGCGGCGGACGGGUGAGUAACACGUGGGUAACCUACCUAUAAGACUGGGAUAACUUCGGGAAACCGGAGCUAAUACCGGAUAACAUUUGGAACCGCAUGGUUCUAAAGUGAAAGAUGGUUUUGCUAUCACUUAUAGAUGGACCCGCGCCGUAUUAGCUAGUUGGUAAGGUAACGGCUUACCAAGGCGACGAUACGUAGCCGACCUGAGAGGGUGAUCGGCCACACUGGAACUGAGACACGGUCCAGACUCCUACGGGAGGCAGCAGUAGGGAAUCUUCCGCAAUGGGCGAAAGCCUGACGGAGCAACGCCGCGUGAGUGAUGAAGGGUUUCGGCUCGUAAAACUCUGUUAUUAGGGAAGAACAAAUGUGUAAGUAACUGUGCACGUCUUGACGGUACCUAAUCAGAAAGCCACGGCUAACUACGUGCCAGCAGCCGCGGUAAUACGUAGGUGGCAAGCGUUAUCCGGAAUUAUUGGGCGUAAAGCGCGCGUAGGCGGUUUCUUAAGUCUGAUGUGAAAGCCCACGGCUCAACCGUGGAGGGUCAUUGGAAACUGGGAAACUUGAGUGCAGAAGAGGAAAGUGGAAUUCCAUGUGUAGCGGUGAAAUGCGCAGAGAUAUGGAGGAACACCAGUGGCGAAGGCGACUUUCUGGUCUGUAACUGACGCUGAUGUGCGAAAGCGUGGGGAUCAAACAGGAUUAGAUACCCUGGUAGUCCACGCCGUAAACGAUGAGUGCUAAGUGUUA